rnacentral:rRNA from 1 species
GGAAGUAAAAGUCGUAACAAGGUCUCCGUAGGUGAACCUGCGGAGGGAUCAUUACAAGUGACCCCGGUUUACCACCGGGAUGUUCAUAACCCUUUGUUGUCCGACUCUGUUGCCUCCGGGGCGACCCUGCCUUCGGGCGGGGGCUCCGGGUGGACACUUCAAACUCUUGCGUAACUUUGCGUCUGAGUAAACUUAAUUAAUAAAUUAAAACUUUUAACAACGGAUCUCUUGGUUCUGGCAUCGAUGAAGAACGCAGCGAAAUGCGAUAAGUAAUGUGAAUUGCAGAAUUCAGUGAAUCAUCGAAUCUUUGAACGCACAUUGCGCCCCCUGGUAUUCCGGGGGGCAUGCCUGUUCGAGCGUCAUUUCACCACUCAAGCCUCGCUUGGUAUUGGGCAACGCGGUCCGCCGCGUGCCUUAAACGACCGGCUGGGUCUUCUGUCCCCUAAGCGUUGUGGAAACUAUUCGCUAAAGGGUGCUCGGGAGGCUACGCCGUAAAACAACCCCAUUUCUAAGGUUGACCUCGGAUCAGGUAGGGAUACCCGCUGAACUUAAGCAUAUCAAUAAGCGGAGGA